rnacentral:lncRNA from 1 species
UGGCGAUCACCUCCAUCUAUGCAAACGGCACCAUCUUCCGUCACCACCGUAUGUUCUUCUCUUCUAUUUACUGUAUCAACAACAAAAUCUGUCUCUCUGAUACGGUUAUAUGUAUUAUCUCCACUGAUGUUGCGAGAUACAGUUACAUUUUUUCGCCGUGGAUGAAGUUGAUCGGAGAAGAUAAACAGUGUCUGUUUAUUUUGUUCUAUUCUAUUCGCAUAUGGAAUAGAAAUGUAAAACAAUAUGUGUUAUGUUUGUUCUAUUCUAUUCGCAUAUGGAAUAGAAAUGUAAAACAAUAUGUGUUAUGUUUGUUCUAUUCCUGUUAUGAAAUGCGAUAUAUUCUGCUGCUCUUCUAUUUUAUCAUGUUCCAUUCCAUUUGAUGAUUACUAAAGAGUGUUUUAUUUUGUUAAGAAAUAUAGUUUUUGAACAAGUAAAUAUCGUGCUAUGAUCUAGAUUGUGUAGUUUAAUAUUACAUAAUAUAAUUUAAUUUUACAUAAUAUAUAUAAUUUUUUAGACUUUGAUAUUUGGGUUUAGGAUUUAUAUUUGGGUUUAGGGUUUAUAUUUUGGUUUAGGGUUUAGUGAAUAUAAUUUAGGGUUUAGUAUUUAGAAGGUGAGGGGAUAUGGUUGGGGGAUCAGCAUUAACUUCUUCCAUGAAAUCAUAGAUAUUUCAUCAUUUUGUUCCAUUUGGGUUUAGUUUAUGAAAGAUUGGGGUUGACAUUGGAUUAGGGUUUAUAUUUCCGUGUAGGGUUUAUAUUUAGGGUUUAGGGAUUAAAGUUUAGGAUAUAGUUGGGUACAGUUGGGUCACAUUAACCUUUUCCAUGAAAUCAUAGAUAUUUCAUAAUUUCACCAAUAUAUACCAUGCUAUUUAUUUUGUUACAUUCUAUUUGAGUUUAUGGUUUAUAUUUGAGUUUAGGGAUUAGUGAAUAUAGUUUAGGGUUUAGUAUUUAGAAGAUGAGGAGGUAUAGUUGGGAUCAACAUCAACUUCUUCUACGAAAUUAUAGGCAUUUCAUAAUUUUACCAAUAUAUACUAUAUUAUUUAUUUUGUUUUAUUCUAUUUGGGUUUAGAAUUUAUAUUUGGGUUUAGAAUUUAUAUUUAGGUUUAGAGUUAUGUAUUUGAGUUUAGGGUUUAUUGAUUAAGGUUUAGGGUUUAGUAUUAAGGGGUUGGGUGGGAUUUGGAUAAUGUUUAGUAUAUAUGGGUUAGAUUUGGGAUAAUGUUUAGUAUUAGAGUAUGUGAGUGAGGUUAGAAAUCUGUUUUAUUUCGGUGAUGUGGAAUAGAACAUUGAAACAUAUGUAUGUGGUCAUAAAUAUGUGACGUGGUUCCUUAUAUUCACUCAAAUGUAAUUUAAAUAUUAGCCAUAC